rnacentral:rRNA from 1 species
CCUACGGGAGGCAGCAGUAAGGAAUAUUGGUCAAUGGACGCAAGUCUGAACCAGCCAUGCCGCGUGAAGGAUGAAGGCCCUCUGGGUUGUAAACUUCUUUUAUAGGGGACGAAAAAAGGGAAUUCUUUCUCACUUGACGGUACCCUAGGAAUAAGCACCGGCUAACUCCGUGCCAGCAGCCGCGGUAAUACGGAGGGUGCAAGCGUUAUCCGGAUUUACUAGGUUUAAAGGGUGCGUAGGUGGGUAAGUAAGUCAGCGGUGAAAUCUACGAGCUUAACUCGUAAAUUGCCUUUGAUACUAUUUAUCUUGAAUUAUCUGGAGGUAAGCGGAAUAUGUCAUGUAGCGGUGAAAUGCUUAGAUAUGACAUAGAACACCAAUUGCGAAGGCAGCUUACUACGGAUAUAUUGACACUGAGGCACGAAAGCGUGGGGAUCAAACAGGAUUAGAUACCCUGGUAGUCCACGCCCUAAACGAUGGAUACUCGACAUCAGCGAUACACUAGUUGGUUGUCUGAGACGAAGACGAUUAAGUUAUACCCACCGUACGGUAAGGUAACGAGUACGCGAAGAGUUAGUAAACGUUAAAGUUAAGUAAGUUAGUACGGACGUGAGACGUAGACCGACGGACGACGACGAGGGAGGAGGG